rnacentral:rRNA from 1 species
UACGAAGGGGGCUAGCGUUGUUCGGAAUUACUGGGCGUAAAGCGCGUGUAGGCGGGUCUUUAAGUCAGGGGUGAAAUGCCAAGGCUCAACCUUGGAACUGCCUUUGAUACUGGAGACCUUGAGUCCGGGAGAGGUGAGUGGAAUUGCGAGUGUAGAGGUGAAAUGCGUUGAGAUCGGAAGGAACGCCCGUGGCGAAAGCGAGGUCCUGGACGUCUACUGACGCUGAGACGCGAAAGCGUGGGGAGCGAACGGG